UUCACCCAAAAGAAGAACAAGUCCUCACUCUCAAAUAUUUCUCUCUCUAGAAAGUUUGAAGAAGAAGGAUUCAACCUACGGUUUCAAGUCAAGUCUCAAUUUACCCAUUGAAGAUAAUCAAUUGGCUUCAGGGGUCCGACAUUCAGGUGUCUCAGUUUGGUGGCUAGUGAUUGAUUACGAAGUUCCUGAACUUUAGUGAAUUAUCAAGCUCCAAAGACGGAUUUUAAUUGUUUCAGUUUUCUUUCUUAUUCUAGUUUUGGACAUGAUGUAUGAGCUAGGCCCAAUUUCAUUCUAUUAUACUAGAUGGCUAAUGAGACAAGUGUUUUAGGCUUCCUCUUUACUUUAUAAAACUAUUGGACAUGAAAUGUUGCCUUUA